rnacentral:rRNA from 1 species
CUCAGAUUGAACGCUGGCGGCAGGCCUAACACAUGCAAGUCGAACGGUAACAGGAAGCAGCUUGCUUCUUCGCUGACGAGUGGCGGACGGGUGAGUAAUGUCUGGGAAACUGCCUGAUGGAGGGGGAUAACUACUGGAAACGGUAGCUAAUACCGCAUAACGUCGCAAGACCAAAGAGGGGGACCUUCGGGCCUCUUGCCAUCGGAUGUGCCCAGAUGGGAUUAGCUUGUGGUGGGGUAACGGCUCACCAGGCGACGAUCCCUAGCUGGUCUGAGAGGAUGACCAGCCACACUGGAACUGAGACACGGUCCAGACUCCUACGGGAGGCAGCAGUGGGGAAUAUUGCACAAUGGGCGCAAGCCUGAUGCAGCCAUGCCGCGUGUAUGAAGAAGGCCUUCGGGUUGUAAAGUACUUUCAGCGGGGAGGAAGGGAGUAAAGUUAAUACCUUUGCUCAUUGACGUUACCCGCAGAAGAAGCACCGGCUAACUCCGUGCCAGCAGCCGCGGUAAUACGGAGGGUGCAAGCGUUAAUCGGAAUUACUGGGCGUAAAGCGCACGCAGGCGGUUUGUUAAGUCAGAUGUGAAAUCCCCGGGCUCAACCUGGGAACUGCAUCUGAUACUGGCAAGCUUGAGUCUCGUAGAGGGGGGUAGAAUUCCAGGUGUAGCGGUGAAAUGCGUAGAGAUCUGGAGGAAUACCGGUGGCGAAGGCGGCCCCCUGACGAAGAC